CCUUUACUGACGCUAAAGCUCGAAGGUGCGGGUAUCGAACAGGAUUAGAUACCCUGGUAGUCCGCACGGUAAACGAUGGAUGCCCGCUGUUUGCGAUACACUGUGAGCGGCCAAGCGAAAGCGUUAAGCAUCCCACCUGGGGAGUACGCCGGCAACGGUGAAACUCAAAGGAAUUGACGGGGGCCCGCACAAGCGGAGGAACAUGUGGUUUAAUUCGAUGAUACGCGAGGAACCUUACCCGGGCUUGAACUGCCGGCGUACGAUACAGAGAUGUUGAGGCCCUUCGGGGCGCCGGUGGAGGUGCUGCAUGGUUGUCGUCAGCUCGUGCCGUGAGGUGUCGGCUUAAGUGCCAUAACGAGCGCAACCCCUCUCCGUAGUUGCCAUCGGGUGAUGCCGGGCACUCUGCGGACACUGCCACCGUAAGGUGUGAGGAAGGUGGGGAUGACGUCAAAUCAGCACGGCCCUUACGUCCGGGGCUACACACGUGUUACAAUGGGUGGUACAGAGGGCAGGCGGCCGGCGACGUCCGUCGAAUCCUAAAAGCCAUCCUCAGUUCGGACUGGGGUCUGCAACCCGACCCCACGAAGCUGGAUUCGCUAGU
rnacentral:rRNA from 1 species